AAAUAAACUCAAUGUUGAGCAUGGAGGAGAAUCCAGGAUUACAGCAGGACCCAAGAAAUAUGAGUGUUUUUCACACUGGAUCCAAACACAGCACACACUCUUCUCAUUCUGUCUGAGAAGAACAGAAAGGUGAAGUGGGUGUUUCAGUCUCAGUCGUAUCCUGAUCAUCCAGACAGAUUUGAUGUGCCUCAGGUGUUGUGUAGAGAGAGUGUGUGUGAAUGCUGUUACUGGGAGACUGAGUGGAGUGAAGGUGUUUGUAUAUCAGUGUCAUAUAAGAACAUCAGCAGGAAGG